CGGGGGCGAAGUCGAUUUCGCGAUUCGUCGAGCGAGCUUGGAGCUAUCGGCGAAAUACGGUCGUUUUGGCAGUAUCUUGUCCUAAGGAAGGCUAAAGCCUUUUCGUAAAGCUCGUCGAGGAGCGUUUUUAAAGCCUCUACGUUGAUAAAAGGUGGGGGGUGCCAUCCCGAAGCUUUCGAACUCCUUUCUAUGUCUUAGAUUUGUAUUUAAUCUCAUCUCUUUAUGUUGUAUUGUAGGAUUGCAUAGUAGCUCCAUUCCUUAUGCUUUCUAAAUGAUAACCUAGUGUACUUGGAAUGUUUGGUAACUUAGAUAGGUGAGGAUUGAGUCGGAACGUGGAUCCUAUAAUGUGAUAGAAAAGAGAUGAACCCAAUGGGGGUAUUGAUGACAUAGAAAGUAGUGUUUAGUGUAAAAGAACACACGUGUGGCAUCCAAAAGUUAAAUGAUGACGUGUGGCAUUAAUGUAGUGUAUAUGACACUAGAGGUUUGAGAACCUAGGGAUAGGUGGAUCCCUUAGAAAAUGCUUUGUGAACAAUGAAUUUAGAAAAGCUAAAUAGCAUUGCAUGAAUGUCGAGGACAAAUGAUCCCGCGAAAGAUGUUGACUCUAGUUGUGGAGUGCUUCCUCACUUGGAGAGGACUUGAUUGGGUUGUGACCCUAGUUGUAGAGUGUCCUCACUUGGAGAGGAUAGAUCUAGCUCACAGUCUGCGUUUAGGGUGGUAUAGCCAUCCAAUCCACACAUGAAGGGGAUUGUCGUCGAGUACUCCGGAGUGUCGCGCGAUUAGGACCACUUGGAGGUCCGGACCACAUGGAGGUCCGCAGACGGUCCCGGGCUUGGGUGCACUUGGAGCUCCCUCCCCACUUUGGGAUUGAAAGGUGAGUCAUUGACGAGCCCUAGGGCCUCGCCACAGAUUGGGUAAAUGAAAAAGGUUAAAGGUUUAAAUGUCAUUGAAUAUCACUAUUCGAACAUGGAUCGAAUUUGUUAGCAUGGUAGCAAACCUUUAUUAUAUGAUGCUUGCAUUCAUAUUCAUGAUUAUGGGCAUAGUAGCAUAGUUUUUUUUACUAUCGCAUUUACAGCUUUCAGAUAUCUAUCUAUUUAUCUACCCGUUGUUGCUUGUGCCCACUUGGACCUAGUGGGGAGAUCGGCAGAGUCGGCGGCCGAGCCCAUUGGGAACUAUGGAAGAUAGUUCUCACCCCACUCUAUUUCCAGUGGUAGGUUCAGGGUUGCAGAGAUCGGCAGAGUCGGCGGCCGAGCCCAUUGGGAACUAUGGAAGAUAGUUCUCACCCCACUCUAUUUCCAGUGGUAGGUACAGGGUUGCCGAGGGAGGACCGCGGCAAGGGCAUCGUGCCCGAUCAGUGAGACCGUGGUAGUAUAGUAGCUUUCCUUUGCAUUAGCACACCUAUGUAUUGAGAGAGAUUCAUGUAGGUGAGGUGGGAGAGCUAUGUAUUUUGAGGAUCACAUGUAUUCAUUUUGGGAAAAUGAUGUAAAUGUAAAAGAAUGCAACUAUUGUAAUAGUUAGUAAAGUACUCUCUUCAUUUCACUCGUAUAUCUUGUGGAUUACUUGCUCUUCAUAUUGUUGGCACUGUUCGUGCCCUUGUGAGUGCGUAUGUUUAAUUUAAUUUUCUGGGUAAAUUCUUGUACACAUUCCUAUUGUUGAGCCUUGGGCGGACAGGGAAGGUGCUGUCCGUUCGGCAGUCCGCUCGGCACGCCCGAAUCGUGCCAAAUUGGUAGUGGUUUCGGGGCUAGGCAUGACAGCUAUUGUGGUAUCAGAGCAAUGAGAGCAAGUAAAGAGCGAAAGUCUAGAAUGACCUAAGAGAUCCUAGGUUGGUAAGCCCUAAGGUUAUAGGUGCGUGAGCGGAACGUGAACCUAUAGUGAUGGCGGAAGUUGAUUCGAUUGGGUCGAAGUUUGUAAUAUGUCUCUAGUUGCGAUUAGAGACGGAUUCAAGUGGUAUGAGUUCUUGUCUUGAGGUGGUUGUGUCGGCGGCCGACGACAUGAUACCAAGAGUCUAAAAUGAGUACACUUGUGUGUUUCCGCCCGAUUUCGUUGAUGAGUUGUCUUGUGUCAUAAUUUUCGACGAGGUGAAUGGUUAAGACGACUUACCAAGUAUUUGCGUUUCAGGGACUAAUGUCUCCAAGACGCUACACACGUAGAUCUGCCCCUGCACCGACACCUGAGGUGCCCGAGCAGGAGGAACCGAGUGUGAUGGAUCGGUUGCAGGCGCAAGUGGCCGCAUUGACCAAUGUGGUGUAGUGCCAGGAGACCCGAUUUGAGCGGCUCUAGGAGCUCUUGGAGUGGCAGACCGCAGCGGCGGCUGCAACGGCGACGGACAGACGCGAUGUGCCCGCGCCCUUGGCUCAUGUACUUGAGCCAGCUGAGGGUGAGGGUAUAGCGGCGGUUCUGGUGCCUCCGGCGGCAUCGGGAUCGGCUACACCCGAUGUGACGGCCGAAGAUGUGAAAGGGGAGCGCGCAUUGGCGGCUCUUAUCAAGUUCAACAAGUUCCAUCCGCCAACCUUUGAGGGUGAUAAGGCGGAACCGGCGAUGGUCGAGUCUUGGAUCGACUCGAUGGAAACCCUCUUUGAUGAUUUGCGUACUUGGGAGAGGGACAAAGUGUACCUCACCACCCAUUGCUUGGAAAAGGCGGCGAAGGUGUGGUGGAAGCGCGUUAAGCGGGAUCGGCUUCCCGGCCUUCCGCCGAUGUUAUGGGAGGAGUUCAAGCGGGAGAUGUUCGCCAACUAUUUCCCCGAUACGUUGAAGCGGAAGCUCAAGGAGAAGUUCCGCAAGUUAGAGCAAGGGGACCGCUCAGUGGCGGAGUAUGAACAAGAGUUCUCCCAUAUUAUAGACUGCGUCCCGGAUGUUGCAAAGGAUGACCGGGAUCGGGCUGAGUGGUUCUUGCGAGGACUUCGACCGGGAAUCUACAAGGUCGUGCAAAUACUCAAGCUCACGACCUAUGCGGAGGUCUUCGAUCGAGCGUUGUGGGCAGAGCACGUUGAUGCCCACGUUCGGGAGAAGCGUGAGCUUUUGGCCGAGUCCAAGGAUAAGGGCAAGAAACGCCAAGGCUGCGGUAGUUCGGGGGAUCAAGCACGUUACAAGAAACCCCCGAAGUAUCCCCGCACUCAACAGAGGGGCGGUGGAGCGCGGCGAUGCAUCGUAUGCGGCGGAGAUCACCCAGUCUCGCACUGUGAGCAAGGCCGAGGCAAGUGCUACAAGUGUGGGCAAUCGGGGCACUUCAUUCGGGAUUGCCCGGGAGGAGCAGCCUCACCUGCCCCAUCGAUUGCAUCGGUGCCGGCGAUCCCGGCUCACUAUGGAGGAGCUCCACUGACGGCUGCGUCAACGGGACGCACGAUGACCCCGCGUCAACCUGAAAUGGCACGAUCGGCCCCGAGCGAACGGGUAUUUGCCGCUCAGGUCCAAGCUGAGGAACCUGCGGAGGCGGAGGAGCAUCGCCUUAUGGCAGGUAUGGUUUUGAUUAACGGAGUUCGCUCCAGGGCUUUAUUUGAUACAGGAGCCAUGCAUUCAUUCAUUAGUAGGUCAUUCGCACGCAUGCAUGACAUUCUCAUAGAGGCGAGUGACAAGUGGCGAGUUGAGGGCCCUGGGUCGACGUUUAACACCUACACGGAGUGCACCUCGUGCCCGGUGCAAAUAGGCGACUGGAUAAUGCCUAUUCGGACGCUAGGACUCCAGAAACUUGAGGCGUACGAUGUCAUAUUGGGCAUGGACUGGCUCUCGAAAUACCACACCAUGAUUGACUGCAAGAGCAGGGUGAUCUCAUUCCAUGAGCUAGGACAAGAAGAAUUCACCUAUCGGGCUUGUUAGAGCUCGUGCUUCGUCGCGACGGUGUCGGCGACGAGAGCAAGGAAGUUGGUGAACAGCGGUUGCACGGCAUUCUUAGCGACUGUUGUGCAGGUGGAACGAGUAGCUCCAACACUAAAGGAGUUAUCGGUGGUGCGGGAGUUCCCGGAUGUAUUUCCUGCAGAGUUGCCGGGGAUACCACCGGAUCGGGAGAUCGAGUUCGUCAUAGACUUGAUUCCCGGUACCGCACCGAUCUCGAAAGCUCCGUACCGGAUGGCACCGGCGGAACUGAAAGAGUUGAGGAGUCAACUACAAGACCUCCUCGACAAGCGAUUUAUCCUGCCAAGUGUGUCACCGUGGGGAGCCCCGGUAUUGUUUGUGCGGAAGAAGGAUGGAUCGUUUCGAGUCUGCGUAGAUUAUCGAGAGUUGAACAGAGUCACGAUCAAGAACAAGUACCCACUACCUCGAAUUGACGACCUGUUCGAUGAGUUGCAAGGGUCGUGUGUGUACUCGAAGAUAGAUUUGCAAUAUGGCUACCACCAGUUGAAGAUCAAGCCGGAGGAUGUUUAGAAGACCUCGUUCCGCACGCGGUAUGGACACUAUGAAUUCACGGUCAUGCCAUUUGGACUCACGAAUGCUCCAGCGACGUUCAUGGAUUUGAUGAACCGUGUCUUCAGAGAGUAUUUGGACCGAUUUGUCGUGGUCUUUAUAGACGACAUAUUCGUCUAUUCUCAUAGUGACGAGGAACAUGCCGAGCAUUUGAGAAUAGUACUUCAAGUCCUUCGGGAGGAGAAGCUAUAUGCUAAGCUGAAGAAGUGUGACUUCUGGCUUUGUGAAGUCGCCUUCUUAGGGCAUGUAAUUUCCGCGGGUGGAGUUUCUGUAGACCCGAGGAAAGUUGAGGCGAUCAAGGAUUGGCCACGACCGACAAAUGUCACGGAGGUUCGAAGCUUCAUGGGCUUAGCGGCCUAUUAUAGGUGGUUUGUGGAAGGCUUUUCCAAGAUAGUGAUUCCACUUACCCGCCUGACUCAGAAAGGCACCAAGUUUGCUUGGAGCGAGGAGUGCGACCGGAGUUUCAGAGAGUUGAAGCAAAGACUGACUUCGACUCCGGUGCUCGCUCUACCGGUGCAAGGCGAAGACUUCGUAGUCUACAGCGAUGCUCCUAUCUAGGAUUGGGGUGUGUUUUGAUGCAACAUGGGAAGGUAAUUGCCUAUGCAUCCCGUCGGCUGAAGAGCUAUGAGAAGAACUACCCCAUCCAUGAUUUGGAGCUAGCGGCGGUGAUUUUCGCCCUGAAGUUAUGGAGGCAGUACUUAUAUGGUGCCCAUUGUGAGAUUUAUACCGACCACAACAGCUUGAAGUACUUGUUUACACAGAAGGAGCUCAAUAUGCGUCAGCGGCGGUAGUUAGAAUUGUUAAAGGAUUACGACGUUGAUAUCCUUUACCACCCCGGGAAGGCAAAUGUGAUCGCGGACGCACUUAGUAGGAAGUCGGCGAAGAACCUCGCCUUUGAUGUUACCCAGCAAACACCCCUAUGGCUGGAUAUGGAGCGAUUGUGUAAUACACUGGAUCUUAGCAAAUCGCAAGAUUCGAGUGUUUGAUCUGUAUGUGGAGCCUUUCCACAGUUUUUGGAGGGUCGUUGAUAGUGUUCCGACCCCUGGCACGCACCCCGAGAAUGUUGGUUUGAGACUUGGCACCAAAAUUCCAAAAUCGGAAUUUUUGGACAGCUCUCGGGUAGCCUGCAGCAGGGCUUGUACCGGAACAAGACUGGCCUUGUACCGGUACAAGGGUUGAUGGUUGUACCGGUAUAGGGCUGAUGGUUGUACCGGUACAAGGUCGGGUUUGUACCGGUACAAGGGCCAGUUCUCAGCCAACCCGAGGCUCGGGUUUGGCAUUUUCGCAGAGCUUGUACCGGUACAAGGGCCCGUGUACCGGUACAAGGUGGCUGAAUGUGAGCAGUUUGGUCUGCAGGGGUGUUUUUGCUAUUGUAGCACUUCUAUAAGUGCACCCCACGCCCCUUAGGGCCUCCCCUAUGCAGAGACCAGCAGGAGUUGAGGUAGGAGGAGCUCUCUCUCCCUUCCUUUGCAUUUUUACUCCUUUUGCUUGGUUUUUAUUGGGUUUUCUCUCCUCUAUUUGCAUCUUGGUGGCUUCUCCACCAUUGUUGAUGGCUUAGAGCUUGGACGAGGAGCUAGUGCUGCAGAGAUCUUUCAACAUCACUAGAUUGGAGCUAAGUUUUGGAGCUUCUUGGAGUGUUUAGAGACUUGAUUUCUCCCUUUGAUCCUUGAUUUGAGGUUUUUGAGAUGAAACCUAGAAUGAGGUUUUAGGGCUUAAAUUGGGCAUUUUGAAUCUAGGCUCUUGGAGCUAGUUUGAGUGAUUUAGAGGCUUCGAUUUGUUGGAUGGAAGCUGGCUAGCUUAUCUUUUGGAGCUUUAGAGGAGAUUUUUGCACUAGAGUGAGUUUCCUCACCUAUCUGAUUAGCUUAAUGAUUGAGCUAGGUACUUAUUCUUUUGGCUUCGUAUGACACAUGUUUUUAUACCUCUAGGUACUAGAGAGACUAGAGGACACCCUCGUGGGAGCGAACGAGGAGUUUCGUUGUCAUCGGUGGGUUGGCUUCGUGGAAAUGGGGCGAAAUGGCCCUAUGCUCUUUCUAUUUAUUGUAAAAUAUUUUUAAAUUCAUUUCUAUAGCUAAAUGGAAUUUAUAUGAAUUUUAGAGCACUUAAAAUGCAUGGCCUUGUGUAUUUUAAAAUUUUACUAUAUAAGUAGAGCUAUAUGAGUAGAAUGCAUGCAUAUGGGAAAAGUGUUUUAAUUGCAAGUGGAAAACACAUCAUUAUGAGGAUCAUGACUUGGACCAUGUACUUUGAAAUAUAGUUGCAUGCUUUGACAUAGAAAAACAAGAGUGUCAUCAAGGAGGCACUUGAAACUAGUAAACUAUUAAACUGCAACAUAGAGACAUAUUAAUAGGCCCACUACGUAUCUGCUAUAUUCCAUGUUAGAGACAUGAUGACAUAGAGAAUAGCCAUUGAGAUACUUGGAUAAUCCAUGUUGUUAGACAUGAGGACUUGGUACAUGAGACGAAUCAUUGCUUGCUUUGCCAUUUGUGCUCAUUGCACAUGGCUUGUGAGGGUCGCUCCUACAAGCGCACUCCGGAGAUAGCCAUCGCGAUAUAUGCUCGCUCGGUGUUGGAUUGGCGCCGAAAGUGGAUUGCGUGGGGGAGGCUCAUCCCUAGGUGGGAAUGUUGACUACCACGGGGCCAUUAGCAUGCGCAACGGCAGACAGCCUUCGGGUGGGUCUUAUAUGAUUUGGACUUGGUGACAGAAUAUGCUAUGUGAACCUUAAUAACUGCUAAAGUGGGCUUGACUAGAAUAGUAAACAAUGACAUCUUUACUAUUACAUUGUGGACUUUGGGUAGUUGCAUAAUCAUGCUUUAUAUGUUGGGUGUUCAUGUGCAUAUAGCUAGUAGUUGCUUCCUUACUUAUGUAAAUUAUGCUAAGUAUAGGUAUCAUGUUUAUUGGGUGCUCGUUUAUUUAUUUACUUACCGUGCAUUUAUCGCUUUUGUUAUAUGUACACUGACCCUUUUUCUAUGGUUUCGGGCCUAGUGGUGCAUUUUACUGAAGUCAGUAAUUGCCCACUGGGAACUAUUUUUAAUAGUUCUCACGUCCCCCGUUUACUUUUCAGAGCCUUCGGCACCGGCGGAGGCACGGGAUCGCGGCAAGGGUGUUGCGUAGCUAGCUCGCGGAGAGUUCUUUUGCGCUAGGUGGUUACUCCUCCAUUUUAUAUUUUGUGAGAGAGAGAGAGGUUUUGUACCAUGUAUAGAGAGACCACCUUGUACUCCUUUUAGCAUUUGUUAUGGGAUCCCUAUUGUACUCAUUUUAUGUUUUUAUGUAGUGGACUUUCAGCUUUAUGUCCUUUCCUUGUUAUAGAACUAGUUAUACAAUGCUCUGAUAUCACCAGACCUCUUGUAUUAUUGUUUUAUCUAUCGCAAUUUUUGUAGAUGCCUUAUAUGUUUUAGAUGUAUGGCGGGUCUGGGCACGCACCGGGUAGGCUUCCGCUGAGCCCCGGGGCGUGACAGAUUGGACCUUGAAAUGGUCGCUCCCGAGGUCCCGACUCAGUUGAUGGCACUCGUCGUCCAACCGACCUUGUUGGAGAGGAUUAAAGAUCUGCAACCUGUGGACCCAGAACUCCAAAAGGUGCGGCGAAACAUCGAGGAUGGUCGAGAUGGCGAUUUCAGUAUAGACGCCGAUGGUACACUUCGGUUUCGAAACCGAUGGUGUGUGCCGAAGAAUGGAGAGCUUCACGAGCUAAUUCUACAAGAAGCACACCGAUCUCCAUAUGCCGAUCACCCGGGCGGCACCAAGAUGUAUCAGGGAUUGAAAAUGCACUAUUGGUGGCUGGGAAUGAAAGGCGAUAUUGGUCGCUUUGUGGCGAAGUGCUUAACGUGCUAACAAGUGAAAGCAGAGCGUCGAUUUCCAGCGGGAAAUCUUCAAAGCCUACCAAUCCUCGUUUGGAAAUAAGAGGAUAUAUCAAUGGACUUCGUGGUCGGCUUGCCUCGCUCAACAGGCGGCCACAAUGCAAUUUGGGUAAUUAUGGACCGAUUGACGAAGUCGGCUCACUUCUUGCCGAUCCACACCACGUGGUCGGGUGACAAGUUAGCGCAGGUAUACCUCGACGAGAUAGUGAGACUGCAUGGGGUGCCGAAAUCGAUCGUGUCGGAUCGUGACCCCCGAUUCACUUCACACUUCUAGAAAAGCCUGCAGGAAGCCCUUGGCACGCGACUCGACUUUAGCACACAUUUCAUCCUCAGACCGAUGGGCAAACAGAGAGAACCAUCCAAACUCUAGAGGACAUGUUGCGAGCGUGUGUCAUCGACUAUAAAGGAAGUUGGUAUGACCACCUACCUAUGGCCGAGUUCGCCUACAACAAUAGUUAUCAUGCUAGUGUGGAGAUGGCACCGUUCGAGGCUCUUUAUGGGCGAACCUGUCGGUCUCCUAUACACUGGAGCGAUGUAGGUGAGCGUACAGAGUUCGGCCCCGAUGUUUUGCGAGAAGCGGAGGAGAAAGUCCGCCUUGCUGGCAAGAGGUUACUCACGGCGCAGUCGAGACAGCAAAGCUAUGCAGAUAGACGCCGACGAGAUAUAGAGUUCGCGGUGGGCGACCGAGUAUUCUUGAAAGUUUCACCGAUGCGGGGUGUGAAGCGGUUUGGAGUGCGGGGAAAACUGAGUCCCCGGUACAUUGGACCCUAUGAAAUAUUGGAGCGAGUAGGCACGGUGGCGUAUCGACUUGCCUUGCCGCCAAAGCUCGCAGAUGUGCACAAUGUGUUCCAUGUCUCCAAUCUCCGCAAGUAUAUUCAAGACCCCGAGCACGCAAUGCUAUAUGAGCCGCCGGAACUUCAAGAAGACUUGAGCUAUGAAGAGUUUCCGGUGGGGGUAAUCGCCCGAGAGGUGCGAAAGUUGAGAAAUCGAGAAAUUCCCUAUAUGAAGGUUAGGUGGAGCAAUCAUGAUGAUCGCAAGGCCACCUGGGAACUCGAGGAGCUGAUGAGAAAGCACCAUCCUCAUCUGUUUGAGGAGUGAGGUAUGGGUUUAAAUUAAAGUUAGAAAAUUUGUUCGUUUCGAAGACGAAACUCCUUUUAAGGAGGGGAGGAUGUAAGGAAGCGAAUUCUCAAAAUUCGAGAGUUGUACUUCGUCCAGGAUCGACUAUUUGUCGAGAGAAUACCCUUUGGGGAAAUUAAAGAUGUCCAAAGCACAAAAAGUGCCUUAGAGUUGAGUCCACGAGAGCUAAUGGUGCAAACAGCAUUAUUGGGUUGAUGUUGCUCUCGGGGACCGGUCUCUGGAGGUGAGAGACCGGUUCCAUUGGCUGGGUAUAGUGGGGUUGCUUAGUGCAACCGGUCCCUGGCAGGGAGGGACCGGUUCCCGAACGUGGUCCCAACGAGAAAUGCCGAAAUUUGGUUAAGUCCUGAAAAUCAAGCUCUCGGGGACCGGUCUCUCAGCCGAGGACCGGUCUCCCGAUGACCGGUGUCCCUGGGAAAGACCGGUUCCCGAACGCGUACGCCCGAGGGGAGCUCUCGGGGACCGGUCCCAAGUCGGGGAGACCGGUCCCUCCGCGCGAAUUCUGCCCAGUGAGGGCUGUGUAAUGGAUGGAAAAUGGAGGGGUUUAAGUGCAAAAUGGCCUUGAUGUGAGGGGUGUAUAUGGAAAUAACCCUCUCCCUCGGCCCCCUCUCAUCUCAUUUCCCUCUCUCACACUCACUUUCUCUCUUGCUCUCUCUCUCUCUAGAAAGGAAAGGAAAAGAAGAAGAACAAGAAGGAGAGAAGGAAAAUAAGAGGAAGGAAAGGAAGGAGAAGAAGAAGGAGAUCAAGAAGAAGGCCUUGGGCAUCUUCCUUUCCCUCUCCUCUUCCCAUCGGUGUAGCACUUGAGGUAAGCUACUAAACCCUAGCUUUGUAAACUUAGGGUUUUUGGGUUUUUAUGCUUUGGAAUGGGUCAAAUGGAUCCCAAGCAUGCUUCUAAAUAGAUCAAUCCCAAAAAUCUAGGGUUUUAUUGGUGGUUGCUACAUGUGCAACCUAGGGCUCCAAAUAGGGGCAUUUUGUAAAGUAUGAGAUUGAUCUCAUUUGAGGCCUUGUAAACCUAAUCGAUAGGUGCCCAAACGUGGGGGCGAAGUCGAUUUCGCGAUUCGUCGCGAAAUAUGGCCGUUUUGGCACUAUCUUGGACUAAGAAAGGCUAAAGCCUUUUCGUAAAGCUCGCCGAGGAGCGUUUUUAAAGCCUCUACGUUGAUAAAAGAUGGGGGGUGCCAUCCCGAAGCUUUCGAACUCCUUUCUAUGUCUUAGAUUUGCAUUUAAUCUCAUCUCUUCAUGUUGCAUUGUAGGAUUGCAAAGUAGCUCCAUUCCUUAUGCUUUCUAAAUGAUAACCUAAUGUACUUGAAACGCUUGGCAAUUUAGAUAGGUGAGGAUUGGAUCGGAACGUGGACCACUUGGAGGUCCGGACCUCAUGGAGGUCCGCAGACGGUCCCGGGCUUGGGUACACUUGGAGCUCUCUCCCCACUUUGGGAUUGAAAGGUGAGUCAUUGACGAGCCCUAGGGCCUCGCCACAGAUUCGGUAAAUGGUAAGUUAAAGGUUUAAAUGUCAUUGAACAUCACUAUUCGAACAUGGAUCGAAUUUGUUAGCAUGGUAGCAAACCUUUAUUAUAUGAUGCAUGCAUUCAUAUUCAUGAUUAUGGGCAUAGUAGCAUAGUUUUUCUUACUAUCGCAUUUACAGCUUUCAGAUAUCUAUCUAUCUAUCUACCCGUUGUUGCUUGUGCCCACUUGGACCUAGUGGGGAGAUCGGCAGAGUCGGCGGCCGAGCCCACUGGGAACUAUGGAAGAUAGUUCUUACCCCACUCUAUUUCCA
rnacentral:lncRNA from 1 species